CACUGAGAAUUGCUGCUGAAAGUUUUUAAAAAGGGAGCUCUGACCUCAGUGGAACUUGUCCUCCCAGUAGGGUCACUGUGCCCUCUGCAUUUUGUUCCUGUGAGAAAUGUCAACAAUGUCCCACAAUUCAUCAAGGAGACGUCCCUGUGUUUUCCCUCCUUGUGAAGGAACACGGUCUUUCUGACUGGCCGAGUAGCUGCAUCCGCUGCACUCUUUCUUAUUGCUUUUAUUCAAGAUUGUAG
rnacentral:lncRNA from 1 species